rfam:Gossypium raimondii Chr12_contig_57, whole genome shotgun sequence.
AAGCUGUGAUGACACCUGCGCUCAAGCGGAGCUUGGGUUCUUCGUAAUUGUCUGAUUUCAAGACGAUAUCGACGGCGCUUCUGAGCUU